rnacentral:rRNA from 1 species
UACGUAGGGUGCAAGCGUUAAUCGGAAUUACUGGGCGUAAAGCGUGCGCAGGCGGCCUUAAAAGUCAGAUGUGAAAUCCCCGAGCUCAACUUGGGAACUGCGUUUGAAACUCUAAGGCUAGAAUAUGUCAGAGGGGGGUAGAAUUCCACGUGUAGCAGUGAAAUGCGUAGAGAUGUGGAGGAAUACCAAUGGCGAAGGCAGCCCCCUGGGAUAAUAUUGACGCUCAUGCACGAAAGCGUGGGGAGCAAAC